UUUUCAAACAAACAAGAUAUGUUAAAUAAAUUUUCUUAGGAAAUCAAAUAUAACAUUAAUAUAUAGAUACACUUGAUCUAUACGAAGCUAUACGGCAGCUAUCUAAGCCUGCAGAAUAUUUGUCUUGUGUGUGCUGGGGACUAAUGGAAUAUAGUACAAACGAAACUGAAAAUUUUAACGGUAAUUGGAGAGCAGGUGAAAACACAUAACGAGCCAGUAAAAUCGCGAACAGGUGAAAAUGAAUGGCAACGAUAGUUAGUAGGUCGGCCGCAACAGCUACCAUUAUAACUACAAAUCUUUGUUUUGAAAACCAACAGAUGGGCGCUGGCACAUAGCCUGGCGGUCAGCCAGAUGGAAACGCAUUGCUGACCUGCUUGCAAUGAAUUAUGUACAUAUGUGUGGCAAGUGACGACGAAUGGCAUGCGGCUCGCCAUUUGUGGCAAACGCCAAGUAUCUCGAGCGACUGACUUCUAAUAAUGGCAGUGUCACUAAGAGUAGAAAAUUUCCCCAGUGAACUCGAUCAAACGCAGAAAGCUGAAUUUCCUCGCCUUAGCGAUUUGGGAAGUACUCACGUUCGUGCGUUCCAAGCUCUCGAAGAAGAAAUACUUGGCUCUAAUUCGAAUAUAUGCUCCUUUAGAUUUCGUUGUUGUUUGUGUAAACGUCAUAAUUUCGAUGUUGUUAUGGUGAAGUGCCAAUUCGCAUACACUUGGAAAAUGAGAUGCGCAUACCUAAAAAAAAUGAUUACUAUGAAAGAAUUUUGGAGUAAAUGAUAAAACUCAAAACGAUUGAUUGAUUACCUGUGAAUUAAAUGGACGAACAAGUGAAAUUUUUAUCGCAUAGAAAUGAAUCCAAUUUCAUUAUCUAUCAAGUUAAUCCGCAUUCAUUAGAAAAAUAUGGAUUAUCGUGAGUUUUGGUGAAUGUGCUGGGAAUCUCAUCACAAACCUAAGUCUUCUAAUCCCACACCGUCCUUCUCUUUUCGGCUUCUGUACAAUUCAUUAAAAACAUUAAAGUGCGCAAAUACAUACGUACCCUCAAAAAUUG